rnacentral:tRNA from 1 species
GGGGGUAUAGCUUAGUGGUAGAAUGCAUGCUUGGUGUGCACAAGGUCCUGGAUUCAAUCUCCAGUGCCUCCC